rnacentral:lncRNA from 1 species
AAAUAAUUCUUACUUACUUAUCUCUCAGAUACAGCGGUUUCCAAAGCAAAGAUUUUCCGGUUGAUCCCGCUGCUCCAUUUGUACCGAAAGAAGAACCAGAGGAGACUUCUGAUCAUACCUCUGAUGUCCCACCUUCUUCUUCUGUAAUAAACUUUGCUUUUAUUUGAAUUUUCUUUUCUUAACAUAAUUAAUACUUACUUCAUCUUUAUCCAUUUUGUCUGCAGUCAAUUCCAACUUCUUCAUCGAUCCCAGCUUCAGAGAAAAGACCGAUUGAAACCAAACAAUCUACUCCUCCACCGCCUCCAAAGAGACGCAA